GACGAACGCUGGCGGCGUGCUUAACACAUGCAAGUCGAACGGAAAGGCCCUGCUUUUGUGGGGUGCUCGAGUGGCGAACGGGUGAGUAACACGUGAGUAACCUGCCCUUGACUUUGGGAUAACUUCAGGAAACUGGGGCUAAUACCGGAUAGGAGCUCCUGCUGCAUGGGGGGGGUUGGAAAGUUUCGGCGGUUGGGGAUGGACUGGCGGCUUAUCAGCUUGUUGGUGGGGUAGUGGCUUACCAAGGGUUUGACGGGUAGCCGGCCUGGGGGGGUGACCGGCCACAUUGGGCCUGAGAUAGGGCCCAGACUCCUACGGGAGGCAGCAGUGGGAAAUAUUGCACAAUGGGCGGAAGCCUGAUGCAGCAACGCCGCGUGCGGGAUGACGGCUUUCGGGUUGUAACCCGCUUUAGCAUGUGACGAAGCGUGAGUGACGGUAAUGGGUAAAGAAGCACCGGCUAACUACGUG
rnacentral:rRNA from 1 species